rnacentral:lncRNA from 13 species
CCGGCUUUCCCGAGUUCUGCCUAUCAGAGGAGGAGAUGUCUUCAACAAACAACUUUUACAUCGUCAUGAAAAGAAACACAUUUGGGGUGGGAUCGCGUUCAUACCAGCAAUAACUUUAUUUAGUAUUUACUAGUAAUGAUUUCAACCUUUAGAGAAAACACAGUGACAAACACCAAUCAUGUGCCUCAUGGGACAUUUAUGAAAAACACAAAAAACAAAAUAUUCAUAAAUUAUUUACACAGUCAAAAAAAUGUAAACAUUUGGGAGGUUUUUCUGUUUUGAUAUCAGAAAAGGAAGACUUAAAACGUUUUAAGUUUUGUUUUAUUUAGAAAUAGACGAGUACCAACACAUUUAACAGUCGUGAGAUGUGCUGUAGUGUUUCUAGCCUGAGCUAAUUUCCAACGCCUGGUUGUUAUGGAAACAAAAGGAAAGAAAGACAUCAUCAACUGAUAAUCAAAUCAAACUUUAUUAGUCACAUGAAUACAGGUGUAGAACCUUACAGUGAAAUGAUGAAUAGAACAGGUGUAGUACUUACAAGCACUUAACCAACAAUGCAGUUUUAAGAAAAUACCACAAUAAAAGUAAGAGAAAAGAUUAACAAAUGAUUAAAGAGCAGCAGUAAAUAACAACAGCGAGGCUAUAUACAGGGUGUUACGGUAAAGAGUCAAUGUGGAGACAAUAUACCGGGGGUACCGGUAGUAGUAGCCAGCACCACUGAAUCUGUUUAAUGAGUCUGUUGACUGUAGUUUAUACAUGAUCGGACUGUUACAGCUGGAACAACCAGUUUGUUGUGUGUCUUUUGUAUUAAAAUGUUCCAUCAGUUUAUGUUCCACAUUAUCCUGUCAUUAUACAACAUUAUCUUCACCAGAUGUCAAACCAGCCUUCUACAUUGACUCAUUAUACAACAUUAUCAUCACCAGAUCUUCUACAUUGACCACAUUAUCCUGUCAUUAUACAGCAUUAUCUUCACCAGAUGUCAAACCUCUUGUCUGUCAGGAAGGGUCUUCUGUCCUGGAUUNNNNNNNNNNAAAUUAUUUACACAGUCAAAAAAAUGUAAACAUUUGGGAGGUUUUUCUGUUUUGAUAUCAGAAAAGGAAGACUUAAAACGUUUUAAGUUUUGUUUUAUUUAGAAAUAGACGAGUACCAACACAUUUAACAGUCGUGAGAUGUGCUGUAGUGUUUCUAGCCUGAGCUAAUUUCCAACGCCUGGUUGUUAUGGAAACAAAAGGAAAGAAAGACAUCAUCAACUGAUAAUCAAAUCAAACUUUAUUAGUCACAUGAAUACAGGUGUAGNNNNNNNNNNAACAGGUGUAGUACUUACAAGCACUUAACCAACAAUGCAGUUUUAAGAAAAUACCACAAUAAAAGUAAGAGAAAAGAUUAACAAAUGAUUAAAGAGCAGCAGUAAAUAACAACAGCGAGGCUAUAUACAGGGUGUUACGGUAAAGAGUCAAUGUGGAGACAAUAUACCGGGGGUACCGGUAGUAGUAGCCAGCACCACUGAAUCUGUUUAAUGAGUCUGUUGACUGUAGUUUAUACAUGAUCGGACUGUUACAGCUGGAACAACCAGUUUGUUGUGUGUCUUUUGUAUUAAAAUGUUCCAUCAGUUUAUGUUCCACAUUAUCCUGUCAUUAUACAACAUUAUCUUCACCAGAUGUCAAACCAGCCUUCUACAUUGACCACAUUAUCCUGUCAUUAUACAACAUUAUCAUCACCAGAUAUCAAACCAGCCUUCUACAUUGACACAUUAUAGUGUCAUUAUACAACAUUAUCAUCACCAGAUCUUCUACAUUGACCACAUUAUCCUGUCAUUAUACAGCAUUAUCUUCACCAGAUGUCAAACCUCUUGUCUGUCAGGAAGGGUCUUCUGUCCUGGAUUCAGCCUUCUCUUCCUGAACUAAGACCUGAUGUUGUUUCACCAGAUCUCAAACCUCUUAUCUGUCAGGAAGGGUCUUCUGUCCUGGAUUCUGUUGUUGAAGAGUCUAUAAAACAUGAUUAUUAUGAAUCAUUAUUACAUCAUUAGACACCAAAUCUCCAUCCUCCAACAGUUGCCCCCAGAAACAGACACACCCAUAUGAUCUCACACACACACAUGCUCUGCUCACCGUCACACACACCCUUACCGUACGGUGUGUAUUGAAGUGUUGGUAGAGACCAGUUGGAGAAUUCUGUCAGUCAGAGCAUCAGUGAUGUCAUUGUGGCUCAGGCUACAACAGAGAGCGAGAGAGAAAGAGAGAGAGAGAGAAAGAGAGAGAGAAAGAGAGAUAGAGAGAGAGAGAGAGAAAGAGAGAGAGAGAGAAAGAGAGAGAGAGGGAGACAGAGAGAGAGACAGAGAGCAAGAGAGAGACAGAGAGCAAGUGAGAGAGAGACAGAGAAAGACAGAGAGAGAGCAAGAGAGAGAGAGAGAGAGAACGAGUGGUCAGACAUUUGUCAUCUAGUGUCACACACACACACACACACACACACACACACACACACACACAGUGAAAGCCACUCACUUCAGGACUUGUACUUUAAGCAGGUGUGCGAUCAGGGGCUGUAGCUGGUGGUCUGUGAGUUGACAGUGGCUGAGGUCCAGUUCUGACAGACCCUCUGAGUGUUCCAGAACCAGGGCCAGAGAUCCACAGGCCUUCUGGUCCAGCCUGGUCUCACUGAGGUCCAGCUCCCCAUCCAGGGCUCUGCACAGGGACUCUGCAUGCCUCAGCAGCCCCUCUUCAAUCCCCUCACACACAAGGUCCAGCAGCUGAAGUAGCAGAGCUUUGCUGGGACUGAGAGGACAAGAAUCAGAGACAACAUUAUGACACAGAGUAAGUUUAACUCCUACUGAUAAACUAGUUGGUCAAAUGUUUGUCUUUGUGUGUCUAACCUCAGCUUGACAAUAUUCAGGAUGGGAAGCAGCUCCCUCAGUGCUCUGUCUUCCACCUUACAGUCUCUUAGGAUGAUCUGGACCUGGUUCUGAACCAGCUGGGUGCCGUGUUGGUUCUGCUUCAGAACAGAGUUGAUGGCCCUGCAAUGGUCAGUGGUCAGACACAGAGCCUCCCCCUGGUCCUGAGCUGACAGGUCCACAGAGGAGGAGCAGGACAAGUCCAGUCUGUAGUGCAGAGACCUGAGCAGCCAUACUGCUGUUGGUGGUGAUGAUGGUGCCCCCUGCUGGACCUGAGAGGCACCACAGCACUGGAGGAAACUCAGCAGUAACCUCCUGUCAACACUACAGAGAGACAGAGAGAGACUUAUUUACACACCAUCACACAUUAAAACACUGAUAAGCACACUACAACUCUGUUAGUCAGGUCAACUCCCAGGAGUUCCCCUUCAAUUCCGCCCCUAGCUGAGGUUAAGGUUAGUACAUUAUACUAAGGUUAGGGUUAGAGGUUAAAUCAGUCAGGAAGUGGAAAGCCUCAUAGUUAUAUCCAUUCUAGCAGGGUCAACGAGUGCCAACUAAACCUGAGUUGGGAGACUCUGUCCAGAAGAGGCAGGAUGCUCUCUAUCUCCCCCGGUGGUAUGGAGGUCCACAGCAGGUUGACUUUGACUUGGUGGCUGUGCUGCAGGGUAAAACACAGAGCGGUACAGUCCACUCUGUCCAGCUCUCUGCUGUUCAGGUUGAUCCAAUGGUCUGAAGACCUCAACAAACUGGACACACAGUCACUGUCUCUGCUGUCAUAGAUCUGUCUGAUGGAGGACUUUACAAAGCUGGAACUGGACCUGAACAAACAUGGAGAAAGGAUU